CCGUUCUCUUUGUGUGCGUGCAGCUGGCGUCUAGGCUGCAUUUCGAAUGGUCUCGUAUCGGAAGGCGAAGGUGUCCAUGGGCAGCACAGCAACAAAGGAGCCAGGAUGGUGUUAGUGCACGUCGGAUAUCUGGUUCUUCCCGUCUUCGGUUCGGUCAGAAGUAGAGGAGCACAUUUUAGCAGGCACCAGCAUAGUCAUGCUACCUCCUGCCGGCAUUUUCACCUGGCUGCUACGGCAACGUCGCUGCCUGCUGAGUUCCCGCCCCCUCCCCUCGCCCCGCCUCAGUACCAGGAAAUCCCGCCCCCUUUCUUACCUCAGGCCUUACAGCAGCAAUACCUCAUCCAGCAACAGCUACUGCAGCGCAGACGCACACAGGAGCGAGUCCCACUGAACACGAAUCGGUUACGUCCAGGAUAUGAAUAUGCUCCGCCCCUCCAUGUCCCUCAGCCAAUCCCACAGCAGCCCAGAUACCUGGCAGAAGGCACUGAUUGGGACCUAAGCGUGGACGCAGGAGUGCCAUAUCAGUAUCCUCUGCAGCAGAUCCCUCAACCCUACCAGCAUUACCUGGCCUCUCCCAGAAUGCACCACCUCCCCAGGAACACCUCCUCCACCCAAGUGGUUGUCCAUGAGAUAAGGAAUUAUCCAUAUCCACAGCUUCACCUGCUGGCGCUGCAGAGCUUGAGUCCCAGCAGACACUCGUCUGCUGUUCGAGAGAGUUAUGAGGAGCUGCUACAGCUGGAGGAUCGACUGGGAAGCGUCAGCCGAGGGGCCAUACAGACCACCAUAGAGAGAUUCACCUUCCCCCACAAAUACAAGAAGCGGAAGCUGCUGGAUCUGAAGUUAUGUGAGGAAGAGUCGGAUAUGGAUGAGAAAUGCACCAUUUGCCUCUCCAUGCUGGAGGAUGGAGAAGAUGUCAGGCGUUUACCCUGUAUGCAUUUGUUCCAUCAGGCGUGUGUGGAUCAGUGGCUGGCCACCAGUAGGAAGUGUCCCAUCUGCAGAGUGGACAUCCAAACACAGCUCACCCCCGAGAGCUGAAACACACCCGGCGAAAUAACACGCAUUAACAAAUAACUCACACACAUGCUCUAUUUCAUUCUUAUACAUCCACAGACAUUUUCAUUGACACACACACACACACACUGUAUAUUACCUACACACGUGUAUGAUGAGCCAUCCAACACACACUAAACACACACUCACACGCUUUACUGAGCCAAUGACAAUAACUGACACUACACACACACACACACACACACACGUGCUGGUAGAAACUAAAAGGGUCUGUCGCGAGGAGUGAUUCUGUCUUUAGGGAAAUGGUGUGUGUCUGUAGCAUAUGUGUGUGUAUUUGUGCAAUUUCUUAAGCCAUGAACUUUACUAAAGACCCUCAGCUUGCAUACAAUAUACACACACACACACUUACACACUAAAUAUAAUAUAUACACAAUGGCGGAUAAGACAGUCAAAUCUAGCUGCUGGAGUGUGUGUGUGUGUGUGUGUGUGUCCACUGUAUUUCUGAUCUGCAAUACUGCUUUUGUCUUACACACUGGAGCUACUUUGGCUUGCGUGUGUGCAUUUGUGCGCUUGUUCACCAUUUUGGUGCGUGUAUGCGUGUUAAUAUUUUCAUGGGUUAGCGGUGCACGACGGUGCAUGUAGAGAAGCCAAAAAAGAACACGCAACAACAAGAAAAAAAAAAAACGAAAACACAAAAGCAACUAAUUUCCGAGACAGCAGGAGGGCUGUUGUCUUACAAAAAAAAAAGUAGGCGGAGAAUAUAGUGAUUGGUUGAUUCGUGUAGAUAGGCGCAGUAGUAGUUGCAUGCAUCUGUGCUUGGGUUGUUGUUUCAAGGUAUACCUGAAAGUGGUUGUGUGCGCGAAUGCAUGGAUGUGUAUUAGCUCCUUUAAGCUGUGACGAUCCGUAACAUUAUCAGACUCAUGUAGCGUGUGUGUGUGUGCGCGCGCGCGCGUGAGUGAGACCCUGCCAUGACCUUUGACCCUAAAUGCCUACUGAAAAAAGCACAUGUGAGCAUAGCUAAAGUGCCCGGCCUCACUCUGGUGCUGCGCUGCCAUGGUUACUGUAUUUAUUAUUGGUAUUUAAAACAUGCAGUGUUUGGAGGGGGCGGGGCUUGUGUGUGUCCAACGGUGUUCUUGUGACAGGUCUCCCCUCGUGGUUGCUAUGCUGGUUGAGACGGAUGAGCGCGACGCCGGAAUUAUUCGUAUUUGGCCCGAAACAUACGCAGGUAGUUUUCGGAUUCAGCUCAAAUUUCAUAAAGUUGACAUGUUUACAGCUAGCUACACAAACAAUAGCACAUCCAGUUUAAUGGUGCAGAAGUUUGAACACUGGCGCCCUCUUGAGCACUGAAGUUUGCAAAAAUGCACAUUAUGCAAUGCGUAUGUUUCUGGCCUUAGUUGUUUAUAGGAUUAAUCACUUUAGUUGUUUUUAAGUUUAAUUUUAACAACUUGCAAAAAGUAUGUUCUUUUUAUGUGGAUAGUUUUUUCCCAAAAUGUCUGUUUCAAUUUUGCUUUAUGUACAUUUGGCAAUUUUUCUCAUGGUCUGUUUCAGGGUGUGUUUAAAAUCUAGCAAUCUACCCUAUAUAAGCAGUAA